rnacentral:rRNA from 1 species
GACGAACGCUGGCGGCGUGCUUAACACAUGCAAGUCGAACGGUAAGGCCCUUCGGGGUACACGAGUGGCGAACGGGUGGGUAACACGUGGGUGAUCUGCCCUGCACUUCGGGAUAAGCCUGGGAAACUGGGUCUAAUACCGGAUAGGACCACUGCCUGCAUGGGUGGUGGUGGAAAGCUUUUGCGGUGUGGGAUGGGCCCGCGGCCUAUCAGCUUGUUGGUGGGGUGAUGGCCUACCAAGGCGACGAGGGGUAGCCGGCCUGAGAGGGUGACCGGCCACGCUGGGACGGAGUUACAGGCCCGGCGCCUACGGGAGGCAGCAGUGGGGAAUAUUGCACAAUGGGCGCAAGCCUGAUGCAGCGACGCCGCGUGUGGGAUGACGGCCUUCGGGUUGUAAACCUCUUUCGGCACCGACGAAGCGCAAGUGACGGUAGGUGCAGAAGAAGGACCGGCCAACUACGUGCCAGCAGCCGCGGUAA